ensembl:lncRNA
GCUGGUGUGGCAGGAUGAAUGUUAUCCCUCGGUCCAACCCACUUUCAGCCUGGCGCAUUAGGGGGCGCUAGUAUAAAUAGUGGCCAUUUGAGUGUCCCUGGAUCGCUUACCUGUGACCUCCUUUUUGGUCACCUGACUUCCUGUUGGUGUUGCUGAGCUUAGUUGCGGGUUACUUUUCCGAAGCCUCCAUCGCAGCUGGUCGUAGCUGUAGAAGCCUCCUCUGAGCCAUUCUGCUUACGUUUUAUGACACGGCUUACUUGAUGCGGAGUGCUGACGUGGAGGAGACUAGGGUGCCUUGGUGGUGGGAUCCUCUGAGUGUACACACCUGCCUUGUUUAAUUUAUUAGUGUGAGUGUGCUGCACUUGUGUCUUGGUGUAUUUUCUUUUUUUUGAGUUUGUGUGUGGCAUCCCUGCCCUCCACUGGAUAAAAGCAAAGCAGCAGCUACUUUGGUGUGGGAUUCCACAGCUGUGUUACAGAGAUGGAGGAAGAGUUACAGGAACUCAGGGACUUGAUCGCGCAGCUGAAAGCAGACAAUGAGAGGCUGCGUCAGGAGAGGGCUGUUGAGUCAGGUACUGGUGCUACACCUUCUACUUCAACCGCAUCAUCUGUUAGCCCCCCAACUGCUAGUGUCUCUGUAGCAGAGAGACUAGUUUUUGUGCCCCGUGACAGAAAAUGCCCUAUGUUUAGAGGAAAAUCAGGUAUAGGGUUGAAUGAAUGGUUGGAAGAAAUAGAAGCUUGUGCUAGGGCACGUCAUUUGUCUGUGGCUGAUAAAGCAUUUUUCCUGUUUGACCACCUGGAAGGGGAAGCACGUGAGGAGAUCAAAUAUCGCUCUAGUGCAGAGAGGACUGAUCCCGCUAAGAUAAUCACUAUAUUGCAAGAACUUUAUGGCUGUUCAGACUCCUAUGUAGCAUUGCAGGAAGCUUUCUUCUCUAGAAAACAGCAGGAAGGUGAGACACUGCAAGAGUUU